UGUUUAAUGGAUCAGUUCUUUAGGGAGCUACUGUGUCUCAGAUCAAGAAGCAGUACAGGCUAUUAAGUAUGACCCAUCAUCCUGAUAAAGGAGGGGAUCCUGAGGUAUUCACUAAAAUAGCUAAAGCUUAUGAAGCUUUGACUCAAGAGGAGACUAGGGAGAACUGGGAGAAGUAUUGUAACCCUGAUGGACACGUGUAUAAAGUAAUGAUUGGGUCUGUCUUGUUUGAUGUAGUUUGACUCAAGAGGAGACUAGGGAGAACUGGGAGAAGUAUUGUAACCCUGAUGGACCUAGAGCUGCUUCAUUUGGUAUAGCACUGCCCUCUUGGAUUGUUGAUAAGAAUAACUCAUUAUGGUUCUAGGUGCGUAUGUGUUGGUAUUUAAUUAUUGGACUCCUUAUCAUUGUUGGUAGUUGGUGGUAUAAAUCAGUGAAGUAUGGUAGCACUAAUAUAUUGAUACAGACUAGUAAACUGUACUUCCACCUGCUGUCCAGAGCCAAGACAAUGCCUGUACUAAGAGUGUUGAUGAUCCUAGCUACAGCAGUUGAGUUCUCUCCCAGUAAUCAGGCCGGACUGAAGAACAGACCCAGUGAUGAUAUAUACUUGAAUGAGCUGGUGAAGAAACUAGAAUACAUGUA
rnacentral:lncRNA from 1 species